rnacentral:rRNA from 1 species
GGAAUAUUGGUCAAUGGGCGAAAGCCUGAUGCAGCGACGCCGCGUGGGUGACGAAGGCCUUCGGGUUGUAAAGCCCUGUGGGGAGGGACGAACACGUCAAGGUCAAAUAGGCCUGGGCGCUGACGGUAUCUCCUUAGCAAGCACCAGCUAACUCUGUGCCAGCAGCCGCGGUAAGACAGAGGGUGCAAACGUUGUUCGGAUUUACUGGGCGUAUAGCGUGUGUAGGCGGCUUGGCAAGUUGGAUGUGAAAGCCCACGGCUCAACCGUGGAAGCGCAUCCAAAACUGCUUCGCUCGAGUCUCGGAGAGGAAGGUGGAAUGCUUGGUGUAGAGGUGAAAUUCGUAGAUAUCAAGCAGAACACCUGCGGCGAAGGCGGCCUUCUGGACGAUGACUGACGCUGAGACACGAAAGCGUGGGGAGCAAAC